GACGAACGCUGGCGGCGUGCUUAGCACAUGCAAGUCGAACGGUGAAGCGCCUUCCUUUUUGGUGGGUGUGGAUGAGUGGCGAACGGGUGAGUAACACGUGAGUAACCUGCCCCCUUCUUCUGGAUAACCGCAUGAAAGUGUGGCUAAUACGGGAUAUUCUGGGUCUGUCGCAUGAUGGGUCUGGGAAAGAUAUUGUUUCGGUGGGGGAUGGGCUCGCGGCCUAUCAGCUUGUUGGUGGGGUGAUGGCCUACCAAGGCGGUGACGGGUAGCCGGCCUGAGAGGGUGGACGGUCACACUGGGACUGAGACACGGCCCAGACUCCUACGGGAGGCAGCAGUGGGGAAUAUUGCACAAUGGGCGCAAGCCUGAUGCAGCGACGCCGCGUGAGGGAUGGAGGCCUUCGGGUUGUGAACCUCUUUCGCCAGUGAAGCAGGCCUGCCUCGUUUGUGGGUGGGUUGACAGUAGCUGGAUAAGAAGCGCCGGCUAACUACGUG
rnacentral:rRNA from 1 species